CCACGGAAUACCCAUUCAGCGUGUCUGAGUUUCAACUUUACCCUUCUCUCUCUUUUUCAUUCUCAUGUCUGAAGCACUCUCCCUACAGGUCUGAGUUUCAACUUUACCCUUCUCAUUUCUUUCUCAUGUCUGAAGCAUCUUUUCUUUUUUUUUUCAUUCUUCUUCCCAUUUCCUUCCAACCUUCUCCCUCUUUUUCAUGCUUCUAUCCUGACCAACCCUUUGACAAACCCUAACAACCCUCAACAAGGCCUUCAAUCACGAAUCGUAUGAGGUGGAAACUUGAGAAGAGAAACAAUCGGAUUGGUUCGAUGUGAGCAGUCGUCCCUAAGAUUGGGAACAUGAAGGAUGAUGAAGAGUUUGAAAUGUUAUUAGAUAAGAUCCCUCAUGCAACAUCUCAUAAUCAUCAUCAUCAUCAACAUGAGAGGAAGAAUCAUGUGAAUGGGUCAUUACAUGGCAUGUAUGGUAAUGGUUUUAUGUAUGAUGAUGACCCAUCAUCAAGUUACAUAAUCGUACAUGCGUUUCCCCUGUAAGCGGUUUCUCUUUACUAUCAGAUGGUUCAUCUUCAAGCUUGUUUUCACACAAUGGACAAUCUUUAUCUGACCAUGGAUCACCACUACCACUAUUAGAGGACUUUAAGCCACACUUGUUUGGUGAACUUGAUCUUUGUAGAAACUUUAGUAAACUGUAUAUUAGCAAUGAUCAAGAGAAUUUGGGUUCUAGUUUUAGAGAUUUCUCUCUUGAAUCCAAUGGGAUUCAACGUUUUGAUCAAGUCAAUGUUGAGAAACAUGGUGUUUGUGAUACAUUGAGGAAAGGGUUUUCUGAA